CUCAGUAACGGCGAGUGAAGCGGCAACAGCUCAAAUUUGAAAUCUGGCCCCCUCCGGGGGUCCGAGUUGUAAUUUGAAGAGGGUGCUUUGGCGUCGGCGGCGGUCUAAGUCCCUUGGAACAGGGCAUCGCAGAGGGUGAGAAUCCCGUAUGUGGCCGCGAGCCUUCGCCGUGUAAAGCCCCUUCGACGAGUCGAGUUGUUUGGGAAUGCAGCUCCAAAUGGGAGGUAAAUAUCUUCUAAAGCUAAAUACUGGCCAGAGACCGAUAGCGCACAAGUAGAGUGAUCGAAAGAUGAAAAGCACUUUGGAAAGAGAGUCAAACAGCACGUGAAAUUGUUGAAAGGGAAGCGCUUGCAGCCAGACUUGCUCGCAGUUGCUCAUCCGGGCCCGCGCCCGGUGCACUCUUCUGCGGGCAGGCCAGCAUCAGUUUGGGCAGCCGGAAAAAGACCUUGGAUCAUGUAUCUUCCUGCGGGAUGACCUUAUAGGGGAGGUGCAAUGCGGCUAGCCCGGACUGAGGUCCGCGCAUUUCGCUAGGAUGCUGGCGUAAUGGCUGUAAGCGGCCCGUCUUGAAACACGGACCAAGGAGUCUAACAUCUAUGCGAGUGUUUGGGUGUCAAGCCCGGACGCGCAAUGAAAGUGAACGGAGGUGGGAGCCCUCUCGGGGGUGCACCAUCGACCGAUCCUGAUGUCUUCGGAUGGAUUUGAGUAAGAGCAUAGCUGUUGGGACCCGAAAGAUGGUGAACUAUGCUUGAAUAGGGUGAAGCCAGAGGAAACUCUGGUGGAGGCUCGCAGCGGUUCUGACGUGCAAAUCGAUCGUC
rnacentral:rRNA from 1 species